GAAAUCCCCGGGCUCAACCUGGGAACUGCAUUCGAAACUGGCAGGCUUGAGUCUUGUAGAGGGGGGUAGAAUUCCAGGUGUAGCGGUGAAAUGCGUAGAGAUCUGGAGGAAUACCGGUGGCGAAGGCGGCCCCCUGGACAAAGACUGACGCUCAGGUGCGAAAGCGUGGGGAGCAAACAGGAUUAGAUACCCUGGUAGUCCACGCCGUAAACGAUGUCUACUUGGAGGUUGUGCCCUUGAGGCGUGGCUUCCGGAGCUAACGCGUUAAGUAGACCGCCUGGGGAGUACGGCCGCAAGGUUAAAACUCAAAUGAAUUGACGGGGGCCCGCACAAGCGGUGGAGCAUGUGGUUUAAUUCGAUGCAACGCGAAGAACC
rnacentral:rRNA from 1 species